rnacentral:rRNA from 1 species
AGAUUGUACGCAAGUUAUAAAGUGAGCAAAGCCUCUCUAUAAUAGCGAAACGAAAGUGCUUUCGGCCUAGUGUCGAUCGUGCAAAAGAGGGAAGACAGGCGAUCACCAUAUCGUCGAGCACUCCCGGGGUGUCCGUUGCUCAUUGUGAGUGCGGGCAUACCUUCUAGCGUACAUAUUAGAACCCGAAAGAUGGUGAACUAUGCUUGGCGAGGGUGAAGUCAGGGGAAACUCUGAUGGAAGCUCGAAGCGAUUCUAACGUGCAAAUUGAUCGCACAAGCUGAGCAUAGGGGCGAAAGACCAAUCGAACCAUCUAGUAGCUGGUUCCUUCCGAAGUUUCCCGCAGGAUAGCUAACAUUAUGUGCAAGAAAAGUCUCGCGCUGUAAGGCGACUGACUAGAGUAAUUGGAAUUGAAACGAUUUGAAACUAUUCUCAAACUGUAAAUGAGCGAGUCCGCACUAGCUUAAAUGUGUAGUCGGAAUGUAUUAUAUAUGU